UACCUGCAGCUCGAGUGGUAACCGCUAUUAUUGGGCCUAAAGCGUCCGUAGCCGGUUUGGUAAAUAUCUGGGUAAAUCGUGAGGCUUAACUUCACGAAUUUCGGAUAGACUGCCAGACUUGGGAUCGGGGGAGGUCAGAGGUACUCCAGGGGUAGCGGUGAAAUGUUGUAAUCCUUGGAGGACCACCGGUAGCGAAGGCGUCUGACUAGAACGAGUCCGACGGUGAGGGACGAAGCCCUGGGGCGCAAACCGGAUUAGAUACCCGGGUAGUCCAGGGUGUAAACAAUGUGGGCUUUGUAUUGGAGAUCCCACGUGGGUGUCCAGUGCAGAAGAGAAGUUGUUAAGCCCACGCCUGGGAAGUACGGUCGCAAGGCUGAAACUUAAAGGAAUUGGCGGGGAGCACAGCAACGGGAGGAGCGUGCGGUUU
rnacentral:rRNA from 1 species